rnacentral:rRNA from 1 species
GAUGAACGCUAGCUACAGGCUUAACACAUGCAAGUCGAGGGGAAACGACAUUGAAGCUUGCUUCGAUGGUCGUCGACCGGCGCCCGGGUGAGUAACGCGUAUCCAACCUGCCUCUGACCAAGGGAUAACCCGUCGAACGUCGGCCUAAUACCUUAUGCAGUCGUCGGAAGUCAUCUGAUGACGACGAAAGAUGUCAUCGGUGAGAGAUGGGGAUGCGUCUGAUUAGCUUGUUGGCGGGGUAACGGCCCACCAAGGCAACGAUCAGUAGGGGUUCUGAGAGGAAGGUCCCCAACAUGGGAACUGAGACACGGUCCAAACGACUACGGGAGGCAGCAGUGAGGAAUAGUGAUCAAUGGGCGAGAGCCUGAACCAGCCAAGUAGCGUGCAGGAUGACGGCCCUAUGGGUUGUAAACUGCUUUUAUGCGGGGAUAAAGUGAGGGACGUGUCCUUCAUUGCAGGUACCGGAUGAAUAAGGACCGGCUAAGUCCGUG